UACAGAGGUGGCAAGCGUUGUUCGGAAUUACUGGGCGUAAAGGGCGCGUAGGCGGCUCGACAAGUCCCGCGUGAAAGCCCCCGGCUCAACUGGGGAACUGCGCGGGAAACUGUCGGACUUGAGUUCGGGAGAGGGAAGCGGAAUUCCGGGUGUAGCGGUGAAAUGCGUAGAUAUCUGGAGGAACACCGGUGGCGAAGGCGGCAUCCUGGACCAUUACUGACGCUGAGGAGCGAAAGCCAGGGGAGCAAACGGG
rnacentral:rRNA from 1 species